rnacentral:tRNA from 1 species
AAAGUUUUCCAAACACA